rnacentral:misc_RNA from 1 species
GGUGGAAGAAACUAUAUAAGGGUUUUCCAUAUGUAUGAAUAAGGAAAUAAGGAAGUUGCUUGGGUAAGGACUUGGGUGUCCUGGGGUGUCAACCAUUAAGUUCUAUAAAUUAAAAAAAUUCAAUGGUCCGACCUUGACUACAGAGGACUGCAAUGCACAGGAACACAGAGCACAGGGACAACCACAAAAUAAUUAAAUAAUGUCUGUACUUAGUUAUAUAUGUGCAAUGGUGUAAGUAUCAUUGGAGGCCUAGCAAUAGGGAGAUACUAAUACCAUUUGAUACAUUAUUGGGUUUUCCUUACCUGUGGACGUUCUGUUAAAAGUUU